GACGAACGCUGGCGGCGUGCUUAACACAUGCAAGUCGAACGGAAAGGCCUCUGUCGGGGGGUACUCGAGUGGCGAACGGGUGAGUAACACGUGAGUAACCUGCCCUUGACUUUGGGAUAACUUCAGGAAACUGGGGCUAAUACCGGAUAGGAGCUCCUGCUGCAUGGUGGGGGUUGGAAAGUUUCGGCGGUUGGGGAUGGACUCGCGGCUUAUCAGCUUGUUGGUGGGGUAGUGGCUUACCAAGGCUUUGACGGGUAGCCGGCCUGAGAGGGGGACCGGCCACAUUGGGAAGGAGAUAAGGCCCAGACGCCUACGGGAGGCAGCAGUGGGGAACAUUGCACAAUGGGUGGAAGCCUGAUGCAGCAACGCCGUGUGCGGGAUGACGGACUUGGGGUUGUAAACCGCGUUCGUUCAUGACGAAGCGUUGUGUGACGGUAGUGGGUAAAGAAGCACCGGCUAACUACGUG
rnacentral:rRNA from 1 species